rnacentral:rRNA from 1 species
UACAGAGGGUGCGAGCGUUAAUCGGAAUUACUGGGCGUAAAGCGUGCGUAGACGGUUAUUUAAGUCGGAUGUGAAAGCCCCGGGCUCAACCUGGGAAUUGCAUUCGAGACUGAAUAGCUAGGGUGCGGUAGAGGGAAGCGGAAUUUCCGGUGUAGCGGUGAAAUGUGUAGAUAUCGGAAGGAACAUCAGUGGCGAAAGCGGCUUCCUGGACCAGCACCGACGUUCAGGCACGAAAGCGUGGGGAGCAAACAGG